CUAUGCACCUGGGGACUGAUCUCUUCUACUUUGGGAUGUGGUUACAGAAAUUAUUCAUCUUCUCUAUAGGCUAGGCCCCUGAAAGCUGAGUCUCAGAAAGCCUGAAGCAUCUGAUACACACCCAUCUCAGAGGCCUGGAAUUGAGAGGAGAUCAAGCUAAAAUUUGCAUUCCACCUAAAUAAAGUCUUCAAAAUUAGCGUUUUGAACUUUUGCAGAAUUACGCUGCUGACAACAAUGGGUCUCUAACAUUAGAAUACCUAGAGUCACUUGUAAAACUGCAGAUUUGGGUGCCUCCUUCAAAGCGUCUUUGAGUCAGUAGGUCCAGGCAUCUGCAUUUUAACAAAUGUCCCAACGAUUCCGGUGCAGAUGGUUUAUGGAGAGCACUUUGGAAAACUCUGCAAGGAUGGAGUGCAAUCCACUCAGGAGACACGAUGCUGCCUGAUGCUCAAGAAAGGGUUGGGAGUUAGACUGCCAGUGCUAAAUCUCAGCUCCAUGCCUCCACAAGAGGUGGUGACCUGGGGCAAGUCCUGUCAACUGUUUUGGUCUCAGUUUCCUGAUUAUAAAAAUGAGAAUAAAAGAGAAGACAAUAUGAUGGAUCCCCUCAGCUUCGAUGACCUGUGAGUCGGAGUGGUGCUAGGUGGGCUAGAGCCACGACACCCAUGAGCAGAAGGAGAAGCCAGGCCACACGGCAGAGAAACCAGAUGGACAGAGAGGAGCCAGGAUGCAGCCACAGACGUCUCGGAAACCAAAAGGACUUCGUAUUUUUCCAGGUACAUCCCAUUUCAAAUGGUGCUUUCUAAUGAGAGAGAAAGGAACAAGACUGAGGACAGGACUCCAAAUGCCCAGGUUGAUACUGCUCCUGACUCUCUGUUCCCACAACACUGUGUUCAUCUCUCUACUGUAGCAGUUACCACCACACUGUGCUGUUCGCAAGUUAUUUGUGGGUCUGCAUGGCACAC